rnacentral:rRNA from 1 species
AAACAUCCCUUUCCGCAAGGACUGCUGCAUAGGUGCUGCAUGGCUGUCGUCAGCUCGUGUCGUGAGAUGUUGGGUUAAGUCCCGCAACGAGCGCAACCCUUAUUGCCAGUUGCUAACACGUUAUGGUGAGCACUCUGGCGAAACCGCCCCGGAUAACGGGGAGGAAGGUGGGGAUGACGUCAAGUCCUCAUGGCCUUUAUGUCCAGGGCUACACACGUGCUACAAUGGCCGAUACAAACCGUCGCAAACCCGCGAGGGGGAGCUAAUCGGAAAAAGUCGGCCCCAGUUCGGAUUGUAGUCUGCAAAGCGACUACAUGAAGCUGGGAUCGCUAGUAAUCGCGGAUCAGCACGCCGCGGUGAAUACGUUCCCGGGCCUUGUACACACCGCCCGUCACAUCACGAAAGUGGGUGGUA